rnacentral:lncRNA from 1 species
CCCAGGAUGGGGUGUGCGUUCUUAAAGAAGGGCUUUGGCAUGAUUGGAGUGCUAUCACUGCGCCCUUCUGCUUCACUCCUCUGCUGCCUUUCUGAGCCUGCAGUAGUUAAUGAGGCUGACGGGCAGGGGAAGGUCAGAGACAAGCAGGAGACCUGUUCUGACUCGUUCUUGCUGCACUUCUAACUUGUUUCUUACAGACCAAACAGUGCUUUUCUUUUAUUAAAAAAAAAAAAAAAGAAUUAAGAGAUGACAGGCUGAAACUGCCUACUUUCCUUUUAGUGUCAGAAGACAUAAAUAGUUUUAGUCUGCGGUGGUUUCUGAUUGAAUAUCCUUUUGAAGUAAUGAUAGCUAUAAUUUAAAGCAACAGUUACCAUAUUUUCUUCUCUCCCUGACAUUCUUUGAUGCCCUAAGUAUAAAUCUGCUUAAAAUAGCUACAGCGAUGCCUGGGUGUACUACGGGAUUUUGGGAGGCUCUGCCUCUAAUUGCCAUCAUAUGUACCUAAUAUCACAGACAUAACUGGCUGAUGACAACGGUGCUGCAAGUACUUUCUCGGCAGAAGAAGAAAGGUCCAGACCAUGGCAUUGUGACAUACAUCUCAGCUUCAAGGCCAGAUCACUGCAGUGUGCCCCCAAACCCACAUGGCUGGGGCUGCUGCAGCGGGAGGAGAAGCUGGUGAACCCUGCACUUGGCAAAUGGCACUAGCAGGAAUUGACAUGGGAGACAACCAAGCUGCAGACUCCAGAGUAAGCAAUCGCAUGAAGGAAAAAAAUAGAUAUUAAUAUAGUUUAUUAACCUCCUUAGCUACUGAGGUUGAUGUAAUAAAACGGAUUAAUCAGCUGGUGGGAGAGUUUCUUUAUUUUAUAAAAUCAACAUCAAACAAGAUUUUCAGGGGGGAAAGGUUCUGUCCCAAAUCACUCGCCCAGCAAACAUCUCUGCGUGAAGCCCUCCACAGAAGCGAGGAGUGGGCUGUUUUAUUUUUGAUAAGCCAGGUGGACAAGAGCUCAUCUUCCCACAGUAACCCAGCGACUCAUGAGCCACAAGAGCUCUGGGUCUUAGGGCACAAACUGCCUUCAGAUAAACAGCAGUGCUUUCCAUGUGCCAGUGCCUUAACGAGGAACAAAGCCGAACAGAACAGACCGUAAUAAAAGUGCUCUUUCCAGCACGUGUGUAUGUGGCUGCUCUAUGCUGAAAAUGUCCUUUAGCACUUUUUAACCAUAUUCUCUAGCUGUGUCAGCAAAGAGACUCCAUCAGAGUAUUUAACAUUGCUGGGAGCAAAGGAAUAAAGUGGAGUCACUGUUGAUUAUUACUCAUUAGCCACAAGGACAUCCACUUAACAUGUGAAUAAAUGAAUGACACCAUGUCCUAAUGGAAAUGGCCUCGGAGUACCUUUAAGCAAAAUGUUGUUUAAUAUCUUCCAUUUGCUGAAUAGAAAAGAGGCCUGUUGGACAUGCAUAGCUUAGCAAGCAGCCAUUGUUGCUUUGUUCCAAUUUCAGCAUUUAAUAAAAAAAGACGUUGUCCCGAGCGCAGCGAGGGCUGGCCCCAAAAACGUGGGUAGCAGCACAGCCUCCUCCUCACCCUGCAAAUUCACCAGCAUUGUGAAGGGUUAAUAUCCUAUAAAGCAAAUGAACCCUUGGAAGGUGCGUGUUCUUCAUUAUGCUGCUUUACAUUCAAACAUAUAAAACAAAGAGCAUCUGAUAUCUUUAUUGGUUCUCUUAGAUAAAAUGCAAGCAAGCUAUAAGCCUUAAUUUUCUUAUUACCAUUUGUUAACAAGGAAGAUAACGCUCUCAAAAGUAUUUGAUUAGGACUCCCUUUGAUUUGUAUCUCGUCGUGAUUUUCAGGGCAUAUAUUUUUGUAUUACUCCUCCAGUACACUGAUAGUUCUGAUCAAAGCGAUAAAAAGAGGCAUUUUAAAACUGUGAGUGUGAACCGUACAGGUACAGCUCACAGCCUGAGCAGCACCCGAAGGCUCCGUGCUGGAGCACGCCUGGGAAACAAAUCACAGCGAUGCACGUCCCUAUCCGAGAGCCGCGGGCUGGGAGCCCUUCUGCUCCCCAGCCCUCUCAGCAGGAACUUUCGUCAUUUGCAACUUUUUUCUUUCAGUUUCUAAAACGUAGCUACUGAGAACAGUUGGGCAUAGCGCUAAAGCUAUUUGCUGUAUCAAAUAUCUAAACGCUCGUGAUCAGAUCCGUACCAGAAUACCCCUUUCCAGCUUUAACUUCCCGAGGAAAAUGAAAGCAAGCGCAUGAGCUGACGCGUCAGAUCUGGGGGGUUAUUUUCAUGCCCGUUCCGACUCCUGGCUGUAAAAACUAUGCGUGUGUCGGAGCCUUUACCUCAUGGUUUCCGUUCCUCCUGCACACGGCUGGCUGCACGGGGCACCUCUCAGCAUGGGGCUGCCUCCUGCCCUGCCCCACACUGCCCACUCGGCCCUGCACGGCCACCAGCCCCAGCCCCGUCCCACUGCUCCGCACUGCGCUCCUCGGGUGCAGGAAGGCGCAGGCAGGAGAUGAUUACAUCAAUCAGUGUCAGGGCUGGGAGCUGUGAUUUAUGAAUAUGCAUAAUGAGCUCUCACCUUUGAGAAGGACUAGCUAGGGAGAUAAUUGAUUAGACAGGAAAAGAGCAGCCAGCAGCGAGGAGGGAGGAGGAGAGGCCUCUCGGAGCUGUCGCGGGCCGGGCUGGGGCUGUGGGAGGCCGUCAGGCUGUGCGAAGUGAUUGCUAAAAAAAACACGAGCAGGGUUUUUAGUGUUUUGUUGAAACACACGUAGCAAAAUGUUUCCUCUGCCAAAUGAAUGGGAAUUUUCUCCACUUGGGGAACCCCACGAGCACCACCACGGCUGCUGUCCCCCGGGGAGCCGCGCUCCCACUGCCGGGAGCUGCGGGCGGCAGUCGCAGUGCUGCAGCCGAGCUCAGCACCAGCAGCCCGUGAGCAGGGGAUGCUGCGAUGCCGGGGGGUCGGGGGGCUGUCAUUAUUUUCUUCCACCCCCUUUUAAGUGUCUGUCUGACCACUGGGUGAAAGUUUCUAUGGAAAAGCUACCAGGACGCCCAGAGGAAGGGGAUGUGGAAAGUUCACCUCUAGCUCUGUCCCCCACCCCUCCCAUUUUACAUGACAUUAAUCUUUGUUGGGUUGUUUUUUUUUUUUUUUUCCUUUUUCUUUCCCUCAGCAAGAACUGGCAAAGGGGAAAGCAAAGACACAAAGUGCAGAGAGACGGGGUAACAUUUACAUGAGAAACAAUCCGCUCUCCAGCACCCACCCACGGCGCUUCCCCUCGUUUCAGGAGCUGUUGGAGCGCAGGAAGGGAACGGUUCCUGGCAGAGGGACAGCACUGCGAGGAGGCCGACGCGUUUCCAGGGCCAGGAGAGAACGUAUGUGAGAAGGGGACGUGGGGGGAAUGGGGCCGACGGCCUCACUGGGGCACGCGGCCUGCAUGGGGAUGGGGCUGUGGGACACGCGAUGCACACACAAACAGACGGCUAUAGGUGUGAGCACACACACACACACGUAUUGCUGCCUACCGACGCCGAGGACGUAAGAUGCAGUUUAUGGGCCCAGCGCAACCCGCUCCUAUAAAUAAUACAUUCCGAUCACCGUGGCCUCAAAAUGUCAAUACCGCGCAGCCCCGCACAUCUGCAUAUCUCGAACUGUCUCAACUUGAAGCAUGUCAGCUAUGUGCUCCUGUUUGUACUUUAACUUCAUCUCAGCUCCGGCCGAGCCCCGCGCCGCCCCCCGCGCGGCUCCGUCACGCAGCGAUCAGCGCCGUGC